ACUUAAAUAGCUUAUAUAAGAGCACAGUGUUGAAGGCACUGGGGAGAUUUAAUAAUUUUUAAGUA
rnacentral:tRNA from 1 species